CUAAAAUAUUGAACAGACUCCUCAUAACUAUUCUCACAAACACAAUGAAACUUUGAAAAGCCACAAUUUGAAUAUUAUUAGAAAACUCGUUGUGGCCUGAUCACAAGACAUUUAAAAAAAAUUAAUUAGAAUUAUGGAUGAUUUUUGUCCCCUCCUUUUUAUUUGUCAGAUUUUUUUAAAUGCUAACUUCAGAUUCUUUUUAUCACCACCUUAUGCUAUUUGAGAGUACGCUGUAAACAAAUGAACUCACUUCAUUUCGUUCCUGUGCAGGAAGCUAAAGUCAAGCCGGUGGAAACCGCAGUGAGCUGCGUGUACACGGUUUUAUCGGCACCUACUCUACUGUUCACUUUGUAGCUGCCUUGGGAUGGGUAGGCGUAGCUCUUGUUUUCUCAGAUACGAGAGCAAUGAAAUUGACCCAGACUUACCCAGCUUCCAGGAAAUGGGCAAGUGCUCUGGUGAGAGGCAGGUACGGGAGGCGAGAACAAAAAUAGGAACCGAGCAGAUUGGGCACCAGAUCCAAUUUUCACCAUAGUCGAAUGGAGGAGAAUGACAACCCAGGCGAUUACCUGCAGUGUGAUCGUAGUUAUGACCUAGGCAGAGCUAGAUUCCUACGCCCAUAGAGAGGAAGGAGAAACACUCGGGUGUCUACACAAGCCAGAGCACCGGAUACGGAUACAGCACCAGCCCAGAUGGAUGGGGCAUUCCAUUUCUCCACAAAAGCUGAGCUAAGAAAAAUGUCAGGUCGAUAAUGAGGAAAGACUGGGAGGAAACGUAAUACAGGUGAGUCGGGUCUCCUUGAGGAGAUUUCACAGCAGCGAGACUGGUGGGCAGGGCAGUGGAAGAUCGACAUUUUUUAUUGACCAGCUACCAUAUCCUGCGUGUGGUGCUCAGUGCUUUAUGCCUAUUAUGACAUCCUUGCAAGAGAAUGAGUAGAGCUUUCCCCCUGGGAAGAGUGCCACAGUCCUAUGGCUGGUUAACAGACAUCAACAUUCAACAAAACUUGGCAGUGAAAUUAUUUGCAGAAGCUAUCAUAAGAGUGCUUUUCUUUGUCUCAGAUUGUUUUGUAGGACCUUGGAGUUUAAUAACAGAGACCCAGAUGCCUAAUCCGUCCAGCUCGGUCUUGUGCCUGACUCACUGGAUGGCCUUCGUGAAAUCAUUCUCCAUCGACACAGGACAAAGGGACAUUUUGAGGGGUCAUCUGGUCCUCCUGUUGCUUCCAUUUUCACGACUUAUUCGGACAGCAGUUACUGAGCAGCUGGAUCCCACGUGCACAGGCUUCCUCCAGCACUAGGAACACGGAAGUGAUCGGGCUGUGGCCUUGGUCUCAGGGCUGACAGUCGGGGAGAGAGACAGGCAGUUACCCUUCAGUGUGCUGGGGACUGUGGGGUCCUUUGGAGGGGGAGUGCUUCCCAGAAGGGUCUGGGAACUAAGUCUUGAAAGAUGAAGGGGAUUUGGCACAACGAGGCGUGGUCGGGAGGGUAGAGAAGGUGCUCAAGAUAGAGAGGACCGAGGCCAAGGCUUGGAGGGCACAGGGUCCUUGCUGUCUUGGGGGCAGUAGAAAAUAAUUCAGUAUGAAGUACAGGGUGUAGGGACGGGGUGGGGAGAGAUAAGGGGUGCCGGAUACACGAAGAGAGCUCAGCCUCACACGUGUGCUGAGGAAGUUAAAACCUCUUACACGAGCCUGAGAUUUUUGGAGAAGAGGUCAAACUGGAGACUCAGUGACACUGGCCAGAGGUUGAACCAGGGCACUGGUCAUCAGGAGAGUCAGGCAGUAAUGUUUGAGGAGGUGGACAGCCCAGUGGAGAGCGACUGGGGUGAGGAGUGGUGGGAGGGCAGACCUGGGUCCCCCCAAGGAGGACGGCCAAGCCAUGGACCUGGGGAGGGAGGGAGCGCAGUCUUUGAUGACAAAGGCCGCCUCGAGCUCUUGCUAGCCCCGUGGCCCCAGGAAAGUUACUGAACUCUCUGUGCCUCAGACCCUUCAUCUAAAAGCGAGCAUGAUGAUAGGGGCGCCUGGGUGGCGCAGUCGGUUAAGCGUCCGACUUCAGCCAGGUCACGAUCUCG